rnacentral:rRNA from 1 species
UACGUAGGGGGCAAGCGUUGUCCGGAUUUAUUGGGCGUAAAGAGCGUGUAGGCGGCCAGGUAGGUCUGAUGUGAAAACUCGAGGCUCAACCUCGAGAUGUCGGCGGAAACCAUCUGGCUAGAGUCCGGAAGAGGAGAAUGGAAUUCCCGGUGUAGCGGUGAAAUGCGCAGAUAUCGGGAAGAACACCCGUGGCGAAGGCGGUUCUCUGGGACGGUACUGACGCUGAGACGCGAAAGCGUGGGGAGCGAACAGG